rnacentral:lncRNA from 1 species
AGUCAGGUUGUGGGAUCCCUCCUAUCCAGGAACUGUAUGCUGUUGUCCCGGUUCUGACACUUUCCCUCUGAGUCCUUGGACACCUUACCUAACCUCUUGGAAGCUCCUGUCUGUGAAGGGUGUGCACAGAGAGCUUCGGUAGCCUGCGAAGCAGCCAUUUUCACUUCCACGGAGCAGAUGCUGGCCUGGGUGCUGGAAUAUGGAAAUGAGGAAGAUCCUGCCUGAGGAUUUCAUGACAGUGCUGCGAUUACCGACGUGAGCCACUGUGCCCAGCCUCACUUUAAAAAAAAAAAAAGGUUAUGAAGCAUCUCAACACAAGACCUCCUUUGCUCAUCACAACCACCCAGUGAAGCAGGCAAGACAACAGAAACUCCCCACCUGUGAUAGAUGUGAGGCCUGAAGUCUCCCACAUACCCACGGCAGAUGCAACGCACAGCGGUGACCAAUGGUGAAGGAUCUAAAACCUGAAAAGAGGCCAAAUGAUUCCUCAAAACCACGCAAGUACGAAGUAGCAGAGCGGAUCUCAAAUCCAGACACAGAGGGAUUGAAAUGCAUAACAAUAGAGAUGAAACACGAAGAGUGAUAAAUGAAGAUUGAGUGUGCACACCUUCUGGAGGAGCCCUGAUUGAGUAUUUUAAAAUACUACUAAAGUCAUGCCGUGUGACUUCUGAAGCUAGCUCCUAAGAAGUCCUUGCAGCUUCUGCCUGCGACUCUUAGAACACUUGCUUUGAAGGAUGCCAGAUGCUGUCUUAAAAGUCUGAGCACUCUGAAACCAUCAUGCUGUGAGGAAGCCCAAGCUAACCACAUGGGCAAAAAAGAUGCCCUCUGACUGCCACCAUUUGAGACACUCUAAUUAAGAACUGCCUCAUUGAGCCCAUGAGGCCCUGUGAAUGAUAAUAAUAAAUUGUUUUUAACCACUAUGUUUUUGGAUUUGUUAUAAGUUUAUAGAUAACAAGAAAAAGUUAUAUUAGCAUGGUAAUAAAAUUAUGGAUAUGUGUA